rnacentral:tRNA from 1 species
GAGCCCGUAGCUCAGCCGGUAGAGCAUCUGACUUUUAAUCAGGGGGUCGCGGGUUCGAAUCCCGCCGGGCUCACCA